CUACUGCCUCAAAACGAUCUUGUCGCUGCCAUUACGUCUAGCGCCUGGCAGGUCUCUUAAUACGUCUUCCUUGUCCAUGGCCGAGGGGGAUACUUGGCGGUGAGGCCAGAGGUCAACAUUUCAACAAGAGUCACCCAGGGUGUGGGUGACCAGGGGUGAGCAGUGACCUGACCACCCUCCCCUUGCCACAGGAACCCAAGGAGUAUGGCUUGAUCCUGCCCAGCAAGAACAAGAACAAGGUUGGGGGAGAGCUAGGCACGCGGAAACUCAACCCUCUGCUGGACUCAGAUGACGAGCUGGACCAGGAUGAAGAGUACCCCCUUGACUGGGUGGAGGCAUCCCUCAAGCCGGGAGCUCAGGUCAGCAGAGUCUACAGAAGCGGCUGCUGCGCGAGGCUCUGCAGGAGGACGCGUCAGUGUUCCAGCGUGACGAGGCGUACGACAGCAUGCAGGCCGCCAAGACGGGCCGCCGGGAAGCUAAGGACCCAGCCGCCAAGAAGAGUGUGAUCUUCAGAGAGAAUACAAGAGGCACAUUUCAGCAACACACACACACACGCACGGAUUGCCUUGUGUUGAGACGUCUGGAAGGGCAGCGUGUUGGCCGGCUCCUUGUGUCUUCCCAGCCAUGGAGUGCACAGACAUGAAUAAGGUUGUAUACUUAAACAUUUCAGCGCUCAACACACACACACACACACACACACACACACACACACUCUCUCUCUCUCUCUCUCUCUCUCUCUCUCUCUCUCUCUCUCUCUCUCUCUCUCUACUCUAUUCAGGAGCAGUAAGUAGCAGGCUUUUUUUUUCAUUAUUGUUUUCUUUUUUUUUCGCCCUUGAACCGUCUCCUCUGCUGUAAAAAAAAAAAAAAAAAGUAGGUACACAUAUUUGACAAGGCUUUCGUAGGAGUUGUGGGUAUUUCCAGCGGUAGUAGUUUCCACGAGGCCUCGGUUCCCCUGGAGAAGCAGUGAGCAAGACUAGUUGGGAAAGUUUGGUUUAGUCGGCGCAACAUCUGUGGUCAUAUGCCGGAGAGAGACAGAAGGGGAAGGAAUUAUAGGAGAAGGGAACAGACCCCAGGAGACGGGACACAACCCCCGAUUAAUACCUGGUACACUGCUGGGUGGACAGGGGCAUAGCUGGGCAUGAUAACAGAAAACCUUAUUCCCGAUAACCGAUAACUGAUAAUGGAAAACCUUAUCAGUGAUAACCGAUAUUCGUUAACUGGAGACACAAAUAUAGGCGAUAACCGAUACCCGAUAUAAAUUCACAAUUCCGAUGCUAGCUAGCGAUAAGUCCAAUAGACGAAAACGAUACUAUAUUGAUAUUUCAAAUAAAAAACAAAGAUGAAUUCAAAUUUUCAUUAUCUGUAUCUUAGAAAACUUACAAAACCUGAACACCACACGUUGACACGUACCUAUGGACGGUAAUACUAGAAACGCCUGAACCGGUGUUGUGUUAUUUGACGUCCCCACCGUCAAUGCUUUUGUUUACAAACACUGGUCUCUCGUGAACUGAGCAUGCUCAGACCAGCAAGCGUUGACCUGAUCAGUCUCACAAAGCUUUUUAACCGUAAUUAAGAGUUGCUGGAAGCCUGAAUCAGACAUC